GGAGAGUGGUGGUAGUGGUGGUAGUGGUGGGUUCACUGGGAAAUAUAUGGGAGAAAUGAAGGUAGAUCUGUGUCUCUGCUUUGUCUUUGCUGGCUCUCAUAUUCACUCACCUUUCUCCAUGUAGCUGAGAAAAUGCUCAUCAACAGCCUUGUGUCUGUACUCCUGAGAAUUCUCAAUCCACAGGCAGAGAGGAAUAGCCAGCCAAUUGUCACCUAUUUGCAGACGUCUUGGAUUGUCUCUUUCUGGGUCACGUUGUCCAGGGAGUACAGUGCACAAUAAGGCCACUCUUGGUCACGUGCUGCUCCUCCAACGGCUGUGAGGGACAGGGUGGAGCAUGUGGCUGGUGCUCCACUGGAAUGGUUGGAAGUUAGGGAGGAAAUGUCCCUGUGAUCAGGAUUCUGUGAUCAGAGUACAGGAAUAGGAACCCACUGGGCACAUAGUACAAUUGUCAUUCCAAACCAUCCAUUUUGUCCCUUCCCUUCUCCAUGUCUUACCUUGUAGUAAGGCCGAGGAUCUGUGCCUCCACGAUGGCCUGAGGGUGGAUAAUUGUGGAGGCAGAUGCAGAAGUCAUGGCAUCCAUGUCACCGAAGAGGGAGUAAAUCCAGAGAGGGACAUUUCUGAGGCCACUAAAGUAGUAAGUCACAGAGCUGGAAUUGGAAGCCCUAGGAAUCUGAAAGCAGCAGGUGAUAGACGAAGGCUGUUGCCAGCUGCCUCUGAGGCUUUGCAGCACUGUAUUCAUGGUGGCCAGGUCUGGUCCACUCUACCUAAUGUCUUUCAUGGACUGGGAGUGGCAGGCAUGUUGUGGGUAUGGUGCCUCUGAUCGGUCUGGUCUGGCUCCCGUCUGACCAGGGGGAAUGCCUGGACGUAGAUUCACAGGGGUCCCCAGUGGAAAGUUUUUGAUCGUUGAGUUCCCAGCACCAAGAGCUCAUGCAAGGGACAGGGACCUGGGCUGGGACAGACCCCACCUGUGGGUGCCAGGCCAGAGUCUCUCACCGGCCCAGGGAUUGGGUAGGGCUGAGUGUCCACAUGGAAAAUAGACAGGAGCAGACGACGAGGUACCAAGAGGCCUUUGAGAUGACAGCAUCAAGGUGUGUGCUUCAUAUCUCCAGGGCAGCUUCUGCAGCUCUGGCUCAUCGUCCCAUGGUCCCCACGGCAGGGCCAUUCAUCCACUGUGCUGGUCCCGGAUGGUCUCCACGGCACACGGACAAAAGUUCAGACGCAAUGGAACAUGCUGGGGAAAUCUCAGGUGAGGUGCCUGUGAAGCAGAUUAAAAACAAAUAUGCAGAAAUACAGCAGUUACAUUGGAGAAUAAUCAGUUUAGGCUGACCUUCAGAACUUCCUAACCAGCCGGGGUCAAAGACGAGGACGUUCUUUGCGAUCAGUGAACUAUCUUCCCUGCAAGGGACAAGAGUGUGCAGCACUACGUGACAGGUGUCCUUGGAGGAGUGUGCUCUGUCCCACCCGAUGAUAUUGAUCUUGGUAAAAGCGACAGCAACAUCGCCAGCAAGCUCACUGCAAUCCCCACACAGAAAGUCCCGGCGGCUGUUUCAAAGUGGAGGUCUUUGUUAAAACGUAUUCCUGGAAAACAAUGUUCUUUAUUUGCUUCUCAAGAUGGAUCGAAGUGAGCUAUGGAAA
rnacentral:lncRNA from 1 species